UACGUAGGGUGCAAGCGUUGUCCGGAAUUAUUGGGCGUAAAGAGCUCGUAGGCGGUGUGUCGCGUCGGCCGUGAAAACCUGCAGCUUAACUGUGGGCUUGCGGUCGAUACGGGCAUCACUGGAGUUCGGCAGGGGAGACUGGAAUUCCUGGUGUAGCGGUGAAAUGCGCAGAUAUCAGGAGGAACACCGGUGGCGAAGGCGGGUCUCUGGGCCGAUAUCGACGCUGAGGAGCGAAAGCGUGGGGAGCGAACAGG
rnacentral:rRNA from 1 species